rnacentral:rRNA from 1 species
CCUGGUUUAUCCUGCCAGUAGCAUAUGCUUGUCUCAAAUAUUGAGCCAUGCACAUAUAAGUAAACACGUCCAGUACAGUGACACUGCAAAUGGCUCAUUGAAUAAGUUAUGGUUCAUUUGAUCGGUCCAUCUGUUACUUGGAUACUUGUGGUAAAUCUACAGCGAAUACAUGCCGACAAAUGCUGACCUCCGGGGUGCAUGCAUUUAUCAGAACAAGACCAAUCGGGGCUUGCCCGGCCACUUUGGUCACUCUUAUCAAGCUUAUCUAGUUUGGGCAGAUUGUACGUCCCUGUGAUGGUGACAAUACAUUCAGAUGUCUGCACAAUCAACUUCCGAUGGUACUUUCUCUGCCUACCAUGGUAACCAUCGGUAACAGGGAAUCAGGCUUCUGUUCCAGAGAGGGAGCCUGAGAAACGACUACCACAUCCAAGGAAGGCAGCAGGCAUGCAAAUGACCCACUCCGUAUCAGGGAGGUAGUAAUGGAAAAUAACAAUGCAUUACUCUUUCGAGGGCCAGGAAUUGGAAUGAGUACACAUUCAAUCCUUUAACGAGGAUCCACUGGAGGGAAUACCUGGUGUCAGCAGACAAAGUAAUUCCUGCUCCAAUAGCAUAUAUUAAAGUAGCUGCAGUUUAAAAGCUUGUAGUUGGAUGUUGUGAUCAAGUUGGUGUUUUGGCACGAGGUGAGCUAACGCCUGUCCCAUCCUCUGCCUCUUGGCAUCACUUUGAUGCUCUUGACUGAGUGUCCUAGGGGUCCGAAGCAUUUACUUUGAAAACUUUAGAUCGUUCAAAGCAACUCGGUCACCUGAAUACUUUAGCUAGGAAUGAUGGAAUAGGACUCCUGUUCUAUUUUGUUGGUUUUUGGAACUGGGGCCAUGAUUAAGAGGGACGGCCAGGGGCAUUCAUAUUGUGCCAAUCAAGGUGCCAUUUUUGGACAGUCAUGCUUACAAUCAUAAACAAUGCCAACUAACAAUCCGGCAGUGUUAUUCCCAUGACCCUCGAGCAGCUUCGGGAAACAAAGUCUUUGGUUCAGGGGAGUAUGUCUGAGGGAGUAUAAAGCAGAAACUCAAAGGAAUUGAUGGAAGGGCACACACCAGAAAGUGGAGUCUGCAGCUUAAUUUGACUCAACACAGGAACCUCACCCGUCCUGAACACAGAAAGGAUUGACAGAUUGAUAGCUCUCGCGCAAUUUAUUGGUGGUGGUGCAUGGCUGUUCUUAGUCGGUGGAGUUAUUUGUCUGGUUAAUUCCGAUGAUGAACGUAACUUCUCCAUGCUAACUAGUUUUGUGGGUACUCCUCCAUGCUAACUAGCUGUACGAUACCCAGUAGUGGGUGUUCUACUUCUUGGUGGGACAAGUGGCGUUCAGCCACAUGAGAUCGAGCAGUAACAGGUCUGCGAUGCCCUUCGAUGUCCUGGUAUCCACGUGCGCUACACUGAACCGAUCAUUGUGUUUCUGCCCUUCACCGACUGGUGCGGGUAACCCGCUGAACCCUGUUCGUGGUACAGAUUGGGGAUUUCAAUUAUUUCCUGUGAACACGGAAUUCCCACCCAGUACGGGUCAAAAGAUCAUGUUCAUUAAGUCCCUGCACUUUGUACAAACCACCCAUCGCUACUCCUGAUGGGAUGUUAAACUGAGGUACGUGGAUCGGUCCUGCUGUGGUCAGCAACAGCACUGGCAGAGCACAGAAAAGAUGUUCAAACUUGACUAUCUAGAGGUACUGAAAGUUGCAACAUGGUUUCCAUAGGUAAACCUGCAGAAG